GGCCACGCGAUUUUGGACGCUGGCCAAAUCUGUCUUCGUGCGAAAAGACGCGACGGAGGAUCGACAACGAAACAGAGAGAGAGAGAGUGAGAACGAGCGCCUAUCGUCAAGGAAAACAGAGUAAAAAGAGGACGCGCAGCCUAGAGACAGCCGGACAGGAAGUAGAAAAUCGUUCGAUAGAUCGGCUGAAAUAGUCGAGCGGCGAUGGCGGCAGAUCGAAAGGUCGAACAAGCGAAACGAAACCGGUUAGAAAUUGCGGAACAAUACCAGCAACGGGCCAGCGCUGGUUGACUGGUGGUAACACACAGCAAUGCCAAGGUCAUGAGAGGAAUUUUCAUACGACACCAGGCCACUAGGCAGCAAAAUGUCGGUCACUGGAACUUUUAUCCGAGAGCAAGGGAACCGCGCAGAGGAACGUGCGGAGGUCGCUGCUACACCUCGCGAUGCUCCGCUGAUCAGAUUCAUAACGCGAUAAACCAACGACGAGUGUGUGCCGGCACGCUUCGUCUCGCGCAGUUAACCCAAAUUGCACGAUACAAGUGCUCGGACAAACGACCCGCCGCUUAAUGAACUUUCCUCGGACUUCUGGAUACGCGGGUUCUAGUCGAGCGUCGAUUGUCUGUUGCUGUACUCUCGAUGAUAAGAUAAAGUUGCUUGGAUACAGCGAAGUAGCGAUGGAAAAUGGUCAGUAAAAAUGUAAAAAUAAAAGGCAUAUUCUCACCGUCUUCGCCUUCAAUUGAUCCUCUGUCCGAUGAACGUUCAACAGAGGUGCAACUUUCACGUAUAAUCUCCACCAGGGCCAUUCUCUUACGGACAUCCACUUCCUAACAUUCCUCUGUAUGCAUCUGACCGCAAGAUCUUGCAGCUGAAAGGAUGCAACGCAUUGCGGAAAUGAAGAAGCCGAAAUGAAGAAACUUCUCGGGAUGAGUGAAAACUACCGGUACAGGUUCGCAAGUGAAGGUGCACUUUUACAAACUCAGGAAGAUGUCGUGACAUACUUUCAAAGUGUUGAGUUUACGACGUGCC